rnacentral:lncRNA from 1 species
GUGGUCCUGGAUCUAAAUCAGCUUAUUUUCCCCUAUCUUUUCUUUUAUUUCUUCUUUCUUUUGUUACUCCCUGAUGUGAGUGUAAGUCAACAUUUUUUUUGCCAAUAUUGUCAUAGAAUAUAUAUUUAUAUUUAAUUGUAUAAAAUAAAUAUGCAAUUAGUUUUGAAGUGCAGUAAACAAAACAUUUAAAAAAUUAAUUUCUUUUCUUUUGAUAUAUUAAUUC